rnacentral:sRNA from 1 species
CCAGCAACCUGAUUGCUGGUGGCUAACUAAAAUCAUUAAAAAUUUCUCUUUGACAGGCCGAUAUUCAUAUUGGCCUUUUUUUU